rnacentral:rRNA from 1 species
AACGAACGCUGGCGGCAGGCUUAACACAUGCAAGUCGAACGCAUCCUUCGGGGUGAGUGGCAGACGGGUGAGUAACGCGUGGGAACGUGCCCUUCAGUUCGGGAUAACCCAGGGAAACUUGGGCUAAUACCGGAUACGUGCGAGAGCAGAAAGAUUUAUUCGCUGAAGGAUCGGCCCGCGUCUGAUUAGCUAGUUGGUGGGGUAAUGGCCCACCAAGGCGACGAUCAGUAGCUGGUCUGAGAGGAUGAUCAGCCACAUUGGGACUGAGACACGGCCCAAACUCCUACGGGGGGCAGCGGUGGGGAAUAUUGGACAAUGGGCGCAAGCCUGAUCCAGCCAUGCCGCGUGAGUGAUGAAGGCCUUAGGGUUGUAAAGCUCUUUCGCCCGGGACGAUAAUGCCGGUACCGGAAGAAGAAGCCCCGGCUAACUUCGUGCCAGCCGCCGCGGUAA